CCUACGGGUGGCAGCAGUGAGGAAUAUUGGUCAAUGGACGGAAGCCUGAACCAGCCACGCCGCGUGCAGGAAGACGGCUCUCUGAGUUGUAACCUGCUUUUGUACAAGGGUACACCUGAAUACGUGUAUUCAGCUGAAAGUACUGUACGAAUAAGGAUCGGCUAACUCCGUGCCAGCAGCCGCGGUAAUACGGAGGAUCCAAGCGUUAUCCGGAUUUAUUGGGAUUAAAGGGUGCGUAGGCGGAUUGAUAAGUUAGAGGUGAAAUGUCCGAGCUUAACUCGGGAACUGCCUCUAAUACUGUUGAUCUAGAGAGUAGGUGCGGUAGGCGGAAUGUAUGGUGUAGCGGUGAAAUGCGUAGAGAUCAUACAGAACACCGAUUGCGAAGGCAGCUUACCAAUCUAUAUCUGACGUUGAGGCACGAAAGCGUGGGGAGCAAACAGGAUUAGAUACCCUUGUAGUC
rnacentral:rRNA from 1 species